GACGAACGCUGGCGGCGUGCUUAACACAUGCAAGUCGAACGAUGAAGCUGGAGCUUGCUCCGGUGGAUUAGUGGCGAACGGGUGAGUAACACGUGAGCAAUCUGCCCUUGACUCUGGGAUAACUGCGGGAAACUGUAGCUAAUACCGGAUACUUUCACUGGAAGGCAUCUUCUGGUGAAGAAAGAAUUUCGGUCAAGGAUGAGCUCGCGGCCUAUCAGCUUGUUGGUGAGGUAACGGCUCACCAAGGCGACGACGGGUAGCCGGCCUGAGAGGGGGACCGGCCCGACUGGGACUGGAACCCGGCCCAGACUCCUACGGGAGGCAGCAGUGGGGAAGAUUGCACAAUGAGCGCAAGCCUGAUGCAGCAACGCCGCGUGAGGGAUGAAGGCCUUCGGGUUGUAAACCACUUUUAGCAGGGAAGGAGCGAAAGUGACGGUACCUGCAGAAAAAGCACCGGCUAACUACGUGCCAGCCGCCGCCGUAA
rnacentral:rRNA from 1 species